GUAUUUUGGAACACCGCUGUGCUGCUUUUUUAUUUUUUUCCCUCUGUAUCUUCAUUAGAAUUUCGGGGUUUAUUUUUGCAUAUAGUUCAGAGAGUUAUUGCACGUUUCUUGAAUAAAGAAUUCUCUCUUAAAAUAUUAAAGACUUGCUUCCAAAGUGCUCGGUUCUGUGUGCAUCUCAAAUCACAAGACUGCUGAGAAGGGAAACUUUUCAAACACUGAUCUGGAAGUUCUGCUGUGCUGCUUUGCCUUCCUGUCCUUUCAGUCUGGCAAAUUGUGAGCUGCAAGUCCAGCAGAGGUUUUGGAAUCAUUGUAAUUUAAACUUGGGUGUUUGCUCUUUCUCCUGUGGAACAACACAGAUAUUUAAAGAAAUGGGCAGUCUGUAUCAUGUGGUGACAUAAAUAUCAAGACAGAGUGUUUCUGUUCUGUUCCCCACAGGAUAUGACAGGAAGCAGGAGGUUUGAGGUGGGGACAUCUCUCUGCUGCAGCUGCAAUGCAAGAAAGGCUGACCCAAGUCACACCAAAAGUCCAGUUUAUGCUACUUGUCAGCAUUUCUCCUUUUGGACAGAAGCAGAAAAUAACAGUGUUCCACGAGUGAAUGCACAAGUGGACUUCACAAAAUCACUGGGCUGUUUGCAGUGGGUAUCUAGAAAUUCAACCUUGUGGUACUUUGAUGUGCAUUAA
rnacentral:lncRNA from 1 species